rnacentral:lncRNA from 1 species
GAAAUGGUUGAGGCAUGGUAGGAUUAUUUGCUGCUAUAAUUAAAAGAUAGAUUUUAUUAUGAAAAAUUAGAAGAACGUGUUCCAUAUUUGCCUUCUAGAAUAACUACACCAUAAACCUAUAAAUAUAAAAGUUAAGGUUAAAUAAGGGGCAAAGGAUGAAAACGGUUCACAAAGAUGAAUGAGCCUUCAUCCAAGAGGGAGAGUAUGAAUUAUUUUUACGAAAAGUAUAAAAUCUAUAAGUACAAGUAAAAUGACCACCAAUUGUGGGG